UACGUAGGGGGCGAGCGUUGUCCGGAUUUAUUGGGCGUAAAGAGCGUGUAGGCGGCCAGGUAGGUCCGCUGUGAAAACUCGAGGCUCAACCUCGAGACGUCGGCGGAAACCAUCUGGCUAGAGUCCGGAAGAGGAGAGUGGAAUUCCUGGUGUAGCGGUGAAAUGCGCAGAUAUCAGGAAGAACACCCGUGGCGAAGGCGGCUCUCUGGGACGGUACUGACGCUGAGACGCGAAAGCGUGGGGAGCGAACAGG
rnacentral:rRNA from 1 species